rnacentral:rRNA from 1 species
UACGUAGGGUCCGAGCGUUUGUCCGGAAUUAUUGGGCGUAAAGGGCUCGUAGGCGGUUCGUCACGUCGGGAGUGAAAACUCGGAGCUUAACUCCGAGCCUGCUUCCGAUACGGGCAGACUAGAGGUAGGCAGGGGAGAGCGGAACUCCUGGUGUAGCGGUGGAAUGCGCAGAUAUCAGGAAGAACACCGGUGGCGAAGGCGGCUCUCUGGGCCUUACCUGACGCUGAGGAGCGAAAGCGUGGGGAGCGAACAGG